AUUGAACGCUGGCGGCAGGCCUAACACAUGCAAGUCGAGCGGAUGAAGGGAGCUUGCUCCUGGAUUCAGCGGCGGACGGGUGAGUAAUGCCUAGGAAUCUGCCUGGUAGUGGGGGAUAACGUCCGGAAACGGGCGCUAAUACCGCAUACGACCUGAGGGAGAAAGUGGGGGAUCGUCGGACCUCACGCUAUCAGAGGAGCCUAGGUCGGAUUAGCUAGUUGGUGGGGUAAAGGCCUACCAAGGCGACGAUCCGUACCUGGUCUGAGAGGAUGAUCAGCCACACUGGAACUGAGACACGGUCCAGACUCCUACGGGAGGCAGCAGUGGGGAAUAUUGGACAAUGGGCGAAAGCCUGAUCCAGCCAUGCCGCGUGUGUGGAGAAGGUCUUCGGAUUGUAAAGCACUUUUAGUUGGGAGGAAGGGCAGUAAGUUAAUACCUUGCUGGUUUGACGGUACCAGCAGAAUAAGCACCGGCUAACUACGUG
rnacentral:rRNA from 1 species